UGGUCGCGAGGCGAUGGAUCUCCGCCUGGGUAAUCCGCCCAAACCGCCGGCCCGGCUGAUGGCUCCUGUGGUGCU
rnacentral:ncRNA from 1 species